AGAUCAUUAGAGAUGCGACAUCUACUAUGGAAAGUACACGUACCUCCAAAGAGAUGCAGUCUCGAUAUUGAUAGUCACUACCUCCUCGAAUAGAGAGGGAGAAGAUUCACGCGCCGCGGUGCUUCCCCGGGAGAUGGGAGACCGUUUCUAAAGCGUCCACUCUCUGCGAGAGCUCAACACCUUAUAUCUCUGCGAUCCGUGAACACACCCUGUGGAAAGCAAACAUAACAUAUCCCCCUAGUUGAAAGAGGCGGACACCCAUUUCUCGGAUGUACGUCGUCGAAACUGAACCAUACACAUGCUUUAUAAUUAGUCAAAGACACAACGAACGGGAUUAGACCCCUGGCCGGCUUCGAUCUAUUGAGCGCGUGCCAAUAUUGGGAGCAACUUGUAGGUGACACAGUAUUCAGCUUCAACACAUCAAACAUACCAUAUCCGGAUUGCCAGAACAAGGAGCAGGUCAGACUUCAUAGGGGGUCAAUAAGUGAAUUCUCAUUGAUGAUUCCUGUUUACGCAUGUGUUCCCUUCUAUAUGCAUGGCUAAACAUCUUUACCCCCCUCCCCCCCCCCCCCCCCCCCCCCCCUUUCGUCCGCCCGCUCGGCUUGACAUCGAGUCUCCCGGAUCUCUCCCGUCCUCUCUCCCCUCCUUGUCUUCACCUUCUUUCUAUAUCUCUCUCCCUUAUUCUACAUCCUUCUCCACUCACCUAAUCUUUAUUUUCUCUCGUCUCAUGUUUCUCCGUCUGGCUCGUGUUGCCCCUUCCGACCCGCCCUGCCCUCCCCUCCUCUCCACUCCCUCUCCUUUCGCCUUAUUCCUCACUAUCUCCCCCCUCUCUCCUUCUCCACUCUAUCACUCUAUCUUCUCUCAUCUCCCUUACCCUCCCACCCUACUUCCUUCCUUUCUCAUCUCUAUCCACCUACUCUUCUUCCCCUCCCUCCCCAACUUAUCUCUGCCUCUCUCCCUCACCCACCACCGACCCCACCCACACUACAUCACCUACCCUUCACAUUCCAUUACUG
rnacentral:rRNA from 1 species